rnacentral:rRNA from 1 species
GACGAACGCUGGCGGCGUGCCUAAUACAUGCAAGUAGAACGCAGUUUCGAACGGGUGAGUAACGCGUAGGUAAAUGCCUCAUAGCGGGGGGUUACUAUUGGAAACGAUAGCUAAUAACGCAUACUGUUAGAUGGACCGGAGUUGUAUUAGCUAGUUGGUGAGGUAAAGGCUCACCAAGGCGACUAUACAGAGCCGACCGGAGAGGGUGAACGGGCAAACUGGGACCGAGAAACGGCCCAGACACCCACGGGAGGAAACAGUAGGGAAUCUUCGGCAAUGGACGGAAGUCGGACCGAGCAACGCCGCGUGAGUGAAGAAGUUUUUAGGAUCGUAAAGCUCUUUUGUUAGAGAAGCGUUAACUACCCAGAAAGGGACGGCUAACUACGUGCCAGCAGCCGCGGUAAUAC